AUCCAGCUGGCAAGUCCCAAACAGGACGAAACGCGCGUCCUGGAU
rfam:Schistosoma haematobium scaffold657_30, whole genome shotgun sequence.